UGUGUUUCAUGUUUGUUAGUUCAAAUUUCGGUCGAAGGUUCGUUGUCAUGUCGUUUUAAUGACAGUGACAGCCCCCGUAUUUCAUUCUCAAAAUGGUGGUGGAAAUGUCAUAAAAGGCAAAGAAGCUUCAAAGUAAAUCAUUUUUAUUCCAAAUCAAAUCUUCUCUUGGGUUUUUUGGAUAAGAUCUACUUUUCUCACUAUGCAUCACUAUGCAUCACUACAAGGCUGCGCGAUGCAUCACUACAAGGCUGACUACAGCAUCCAACAUCUUCAGCUGCAGGGGCCUAGGGCCGAAGAUCCGCCCAGGCCUACAAGAAGUCUACAGCAGUACCAUAAGACAUCAAGAAGUUACCAUUGAAUACCAAAAGCCAUAAGUAUAAUCCAGAAUUGUUAGUUUUUGGCAAAAAUUUGAAUUUUGUUAAUGCAAUUUACUAAGUCAUAUUUUUGUUAUAUUUUUAUUGAACAAUAAACAUGAUUAGUUAAAAAUA